CCCGGGCCUUGUACACACCGCCCGUCACACCAUGGGAGUGGGUUGCAAAAGAAGUAGGUAGCUUAACCUUCGGGAGGGCGCUUACCACUUUGUAAUUCAUGACUGGGGUGAAGUCGUAACAAGGUAACCGUAGGGGAACCUGCGGUUGGAUCACCUCCUUA
rnacentral:rRNA from 1 species